GAUGAACGCUAGCUACAGGCUUAACACAUGCAAGUCGAGGGGUAACGAGAGGAAAGCUUGCUUUCCUUGUCGACGACCGGCGCACGGGUGAGUAACGCGUAUCCAACCUGCCCCCAACUAAGGAAUAACCUUGCGAAAGUAAGACUAAUACCUUAUAAUUUCCUCAGAUGUCAUCUGACGAGGAAUAAAGAUUUAUCGGUUGUGGAUGGGGAUGCGUCUGAUUAGCUUGUUGGCGGGGUAACGGCCCACCAAGGCAACGAUCAGUAGGGGGUCUGAGAGGAAGGUCCCCCACAUUGGAACUGAGACACGGUCCAAACUCAUACGGGAGGCAGCAGUGAGGAAUGUUGGUCAAUGGGCGGAAGCUUGAACCAGCCAAGUAGCGUGCAGGAUGACGGCCCUAUGGGUUGUAAACUGCUUUUAUACAGGAAUAAAGUUAGCCACGUGUGGUUAUUUGUAGGUACUGUAUGAAUAAGGACCGGCUAAUUCCGUGCCAGCCGCCGCAGUAA
rnacentral:rRNA from 1 species